rnacentral:tRNA from 1 species
GCCGAGGUGGCGAAAUUGGCAGACGCGACGGAUUCAAAAUCCGUUGGGGUUGAUAGCCCUGUGCGGGUUCGACUCCCGCCCUCGGCACCA